rnacentral:misc_RNA from 1 species
GAAGAGGAAGAAGAAGAAAGAGAAGAAAACGGUGAAGAAAGAAGAACCAGAAGAGAUGAAGAGAAGAAGAUGAAGAAGAAAGGGCAAACAGUAAGCAGAGGACAAGAAAACUGAAGUGAAGAAACAGAGGAAGAGGAAUGGCUGAGGGAGAAAAAUAACAUUUAUAUAAUGGUAAGGUGUAGUAACCUGUAACCCUAUAGCAAAACAGUGAGUUUUAUAGAAGUUUGGUUCAGUUCAGUUUUUUCGAUUUUUUAAAUAUAAAAACUGAACCAAAAAAACCAAAAAUUAUAUUUUUUGAAACCAAAACGAAAUGAAUUUUAUACAAAACCGAACCGAAUUUCUGAAUUAAAUCAUUUCAGUCAGUUUAUUUGGUUCAAACCGAAUUAUGCUCACCCCUUGAGGAGAGGGGGGAUUGAAAUUGCUUGCAACGGCCAUUGUAAUUACUGAGGCAAGCUAGGAUUUAACCUAGAAAUGGAAAAAUUUGAAAGAAAAGAACAGAGUGAAGUUGCAAAGAAAAGAUGAGAGAAAUUGAAAUUGUAGGAAGCUAGGAAAAAUAGAAGGCAGAAGUUGAAGAUGGCAAUUGAAAGAGAUUAAAGCAACAGCACGUCUGCAAUUAUAUUUGGGAGAUAGGAGAACUCUUAUCUUUUACAACUGAUUGAUUAGGCUUCAUUCCUCUAUCAAGAAAUGAUUAAGAAGAGAAAAUUAAAAGUAAUAGGAAAAGGGAAAGAUAAGAGAUAUGGGAAGAAAAUUUCCAAAAGUGCUGUUAAUUAAAAUUGGUAAAUUGUUGGUUAAGUGAGAGAAGAGGGAGAGAAGGCAUGUUAGAAGACAAUAGAAACUCUGAAUGACUGGAAAAAAUAAAAAAAAAGAUUUGGUUUCGUUAUUUUCAUUGCAUGUUUUAGAAGUAUUUAUUGAAAAAGUAUAUAGAAAAAAAAAACACAACUUCUAGAUGAAUGUGUUUUUAUUUAUUUUUAUUUUUUUAGAGCAAAAAAAACAAAAAAAAAUUAAUGAUACUGAAUGCUACCUUAGUAAUUGUAAAUUUUAAUUUCUUUAUGUAAAUGAUGUGGGGUUAUGGCAUAUUUGGGCUUUAGUUGGUUAUGAAGGUAAAGUUUGCUUUAGAUGUGAGAAAACAAAGCUUCAGUGUUGGUGUGAAAAGCAGCAUUAGUCACUGUUAUCGGGAUGUUGUUUCCACAAAUUUGUAGCUUGAUAACCUUGAUUAACUGUCAUACACAUUUGAAAAACCUUGUGACUACCGAGCCCCUCCACACCAGGAUGAAAUGGAAACCUCUAAGUUAGGUGCUGCUAGAUUAUAUAACAGCAACCCCAAAAACCUAAUAUCACUUCAAGGAGCCACCCUUUUGCAACGUGAUCUUUGUGUAAUUGAGAUUGAUUCCUUGACCAGGGCUUAGUCAAGAUUGUGGUAGUCUUUCUUUUCACUUGCUAUUUUCCCAAUUAAAACAUCUACUUUCUUUUCCUUUUCAUGAGUGUCGUUUAUGGAAAAGGAAAAGUAGAAAACUAAUUCCAACAUAGAAUUAAAUCCUCGAAUUUGGACAUUUGGUAGAUGCAGGACAGUGCUAAACAGAAUCUUCUACAACUGCCCAACUCCCUAACUCACCUUCCUACCUAUACUUCCUUUCCUAUUGUUGUAACAUACAGGCUGCAGGUCUUAGAAUUAUUGUUGAAAUUUGAUGCUUUGUGAAGACUAAAAUGAGCAGGAAUUUAGUUGGGAAAUUAGGGUUUAUUAUGGUUCAUGUUUAGGAAGUAAAAUUAAACUUGAAGUAGGGGUUUGUGGGCUGUUUGCAUGGGUGAAGCGGGCACAAUGAAAAAAAAAAAAAUAGUCUAGGCUUCACACAAGCAGUCUGAGGCAUCACAGUUAAGAGUAGAGUUGCAUCACACAACUCAAAGGUAGAAAUUACAGGAAUUCUCAUUAAUAAAAAAUGGAGGAUAAACAUUACAAAUAUGGGUAUUUAUAGACUCAAAAAGUAA